ACAAUUACGGCUUCUGGUUGGACGAAAGUCUACAGUCUAUAGUUGCCAUUGCACGUUCCCUGGGCAGAUGUCAGCGAAUUCCCCAAAUGUGGGAAUCUCGACUGCAUAAUUUCUGGUAGUGGGGGACUGCGUCCGCGCUCUCCCCUG
ensembl:snRNA U1 U1 spliceosomal RNA